UAAGUUGACUAAUUACUUUUACAUGCUUGA
rnacentral:piRNA from 1 species